rnacentral:snRNA from 1 species
GUCCCUUCGGGAACAUCCGCUAAAAUCCUUCGGGAACGAUACAGAGAAGAUUAGCAUGGCCCCCGCAAGGAUGACACGCAGAAAUCGAAAUGUAUGAGUUUAUA